rnacentral:rRNA from 1 species
UACGUAGGGCGCAAGCGUUGUCCGGAAUUAUUGGGCGUAAAGAGCUCGUAGGCGGUUUGUCGCGUCUGCUGUGAAAACCUAAGGCUCAACCUUGGGCUUGCAGUGGGUACGGGCAGACUAGAGUGAUGUAGGGGAGGCUGGAAUUCCUGGUGUAGCGGUGAAAUGCGCAGAUAUCAGGAGGAACACCGAUGGCGAAGGCAGGUCUCUGGGCAUUAACUGACGCUGAGGAGCGAAAGCAUGGGGAGCGAACAGG